rnacentral:lncRNA from 1 species
GGUAUUUUUGAUAUUUUUUUUGUUAUUUUGAUUUUGUUGGAAUUCCUUUUUUAGACAUUGGCAGAGAUGUUGUAACACGAGAAAAAUAUAAUGCCUAGCAAGAUAUUGUGGGGUUGAUGAAAUCGGCCUUGUAGUGAUCUUAAUGACUUGAUGUCCAAAAAUAGGCAGAUCUUAUAUAUAAUGACUUCAUUUACUGACUACUUAAUUGUAAUUGAUGUAUUUCAAUGUGACUGAAACAUGUAGUUUUUUUUUAUUAAGGUAAACAAUCUAUUUACCUCGUGUAGCCGUGCGUAAAAUAUAUUUCGACAUUUAUCUUCUAAAAUGACUUGUUUAAUGAAAUGAAACGUCUUACUAGUAAGCUUUCUUUUUUCCCGCAAUAGGGUAUUUAAAAAUUAAUGUAUCUAUGGUGCAUUCGAAACAUUUUGUGAAAAUAUAAGAAGUGCCAAUUCUUACCUUUCGUACUACCUGAAACAAUGAUAUGGACACCUCGUGUUGCUAGUUUGAAUGUCAUUUAAGUUACUGUACACAUACAUGCAUGUUCUUAACAGAUUUAUAUACAUUUAUUACAAGCAUGAACAGUUGUACAUUGAUCCUAAUUUACUGAAUCCCAGGUUGUUAUAUAGUUUCGUUUAUUUCUGUCAAUUUUAAGGAUUUAGUUAAACGGACAAAAAACUUGAAUUUUAUAUUUUGAAUUUUAUUUUAUUG